AGGUUUUUGUAAUUUAAUUUCCACCCUCUAGGGUUUUUUUUUUAAUUCAGUUUUCGAUGCCUAAUUCCACCCUGCUUCUUUCUGACAUACAUUUACACAUUGUUUCAGAGGAUGCGAUGUGCUUAUUUUAGAUACUGGAUUGGGAAGUUCAGAGAAUCAAGCAAGGGUCAAGGAGUUGCUUCAUGUGGAGGAAUCAAAACUAGAGGAGGAUGAGGGAAAUACCACUCCAGCAGUGAGAUGGGUUCGAGAUGAUAAAUAUGAUUGCAUCCGAUUAAAGCAUUGCAAGGUUGUGACAAAAAUUGAUUGGCAUCGGAAAGGAGACUAUUUCACUACUGUCGUUCCUAGUGAUAUCCUAAUUAUGAAUUUUAGUUGUACUUAUUUUUAGUCAUUCCUAGUGCCUAUUUUAUAUCUCAGUUUUGUUUCUUUCUUUUUUCUAAUACACACUGACAAAUUGGAAAUAUAUAAAAAUCAUGACAUUAUACCUAGUUACCUAGCCUUUGAGGCUGGAAUCAGGAUGAAACCUAAAGUGCCCUGAAAAGUUUAGGCAUACCAAAUUCUCUCAGUUUAAUGACAGAGGUGUUUUAGAUUGUAAAUUUCAUCCGAGGCAGCCAUGGCUAUUCACAGCUGGAGCAGAUUCUGUCAUUAAACUGUAUUGCCACUAAUGAUAGAUUCUCCAGGAAACUUUGAAGAAUCUCCUCGAGUCAAGAUACGUUGUGACAAAAAUUGAUUGGCAUCGGAAAGGAGACUAUUUCACUACUGUCGUUCCUAGUGAUAUCCUAAUUAUGAAUUUUAGUUGUACUUAUUUUUAGUCAUUCCUAAUG